rnacentral:rRNA from 1 species
UCCAGACUCCUACGGGAGGCAGCAGUGGGGGAUAUUGCACAAUGGGGGGAACCCUGAUGCAGCGACGCCGCGUGGGUGAAGGAGCGUUUCGGCGCGUAAAGCCCUCUCGGCAGGGAAGAAGGAGGACGGUACCUGACUAAGAAGCCCCGGCUAACUACGUGCCAGCAGCCGCGGUAAUACGUAGGGGGCAAGCGUUAUCCGGAUUUACUGGGUGUAAAGGGGGCGCAGACGGCAGCGCAAGCCAGGAGUGAAAGCCCGGGGCCCAACCCCGGGACUGCUCUUGGAACUGCGCGGCUGGAGUGCAGGAGGGGCAGGCGGAAUUCCUGGUGUAGCGGUGAAAUGCGUAGAUAUCAGGAGGAACACCGGUGGCGAAGGCGGCCUGCUGGACUGCGACUGACGUUGAGGCCCGAAAGCGUGGGGAGCAAACAGGAUUAGAUACCCCCGUACG